GACGAACGCUGGCGGCGCGCCUAACACAUGCAAGUCGAACGGAGCUGAGAGAAGCUUGCUUUUCUUAGCUUAGUGGCGAACGGGUGAGUAACGCGUGAGUAACCUGCCCUGGAGUGGGGGACAACAGUUGGAAACGACUGCUAAUACCGCAUAAGCCCACGAUCCGGCAUCGGAUUGAGGGAAAAGGAUUUAUUCGCUUCAGGAUGGACUCGCGUCCAAUUAGCUAGUUGGUGAGGUAACGGCCCACCAAGGCGACGAUUGGUAGCCGGACUGAGAGGUUGAACGGCCACAUUGGGACUGAGACACGGCCCAGACUCCUACGGGAGGCAGCAGUGGGGGAUAUUGCACAAUGGGGGAAACCCUGAUGCAGCGACGCCGCGUGGAGGAAGAAGGUUUUCGGAUUGUAAACUCCUGUCGUUAGGGACGAUAAUGACGGUACCUAACAAGAAAGCACCGGCUAACUACGUGC
rnacentral:rRNA from 1 species